UUUGCGUGCGGGUAGUUAAGGCUACGCCGUAUACUUCGCGGAAUCGAAUUAACGUUUAAGCGAUCUUUCAAGAUAGCCGACCGCGAGGGAAAGAGCCGCGAAAGCGGCUUUUUUAUUGUUCAAA
rnacentral:ncRNA from 1 species